GAGCGAACGUUAGCGGCACGCCUAACACAUGCAAGUCGCACGAGAGUGGAGCAAUCCAUGAAAGUGGCGCACGGGUGCGUAACACGUAGAUAAUCUGCCCUUUGGCGGGGGAUAACGUUCCGAAAGGAGCGCUAAUACCGCAUACAGCAGUUUCUGGUUCGCCAGAGACUGGCAAAGGUUGGGACCAGCAAUGGCCAAUCGCCGAAGGAGGAGUCUGCGGCCCAUCAGCUAGUUGGUAAGGUAACGGCUUACCAAGGCAGAGACGGGUAGCUGGUCUGAGAGGAUGAUCAGCCACACUGGUACUGGAACACGGACCAGACUCCUACGGGAGGCAGCAGUGGGGAAUCUUGGUCAAUGGGCGCAAGCCUGAACCAGCGAUGCCGCGUGAGUGAUGAAGGCCUUCGGGUUGUAAAGCUCUGUGGGGAGGGACGAAAGCGCACGGUCUAAUAGGCUGUGUUUUGACGGUACCUCCUUAGCAAGCACCGGCUAACUCUGUGCCAGCAGCCGCGGUAAGACAGAGGGUGCAAACGUUGCUCGGAAUCACUGGGCGUAAAGGGCGCGUAGGCGGGGAUGUAAGUCGGGCGUGAAAUCCCCAGGCUCAACCUGGGAACUGCACUCGAAACUGCGUUUCUUGAGUACCGGAGAGGAAAGCGGAAUUCCUGGUGUAGAGGUGAAAUUCGUAGAUAUCAGGAGGAACACCAGUGGCGAAGGCGGCUUUCUGGACGGUAACUGACGCUGAGGCGCGAAAGCGUGGGGAGCAAACAGGAUUAGAUACCCUGGUAGUCCACGCUGUAAACGAUGAGCGCUAGGUGUCGUGGGUAUUGACCCCCGCGGUGCCGAAGCUAA
rnacentral:rRNA from 1 species